GAUGAACGCUAGCUACAGGCUUAACACAUGCAAGUCGAGGGGAAACGAUAGAGAAAGCUUGCUUUUUCUAGGCGUCGACCGGCGCACGGGUGAGUAACGCGUAUCCAACCUGCACAUCACUUGGGGAUAACCUUGCGAAAGUAAGACUAAUACCCAAUGACGUCUCUAGAAGACAUCUGAAAGAGAUUAAAGAUUUAUCGGUGCUGGAUGGGGAUGCGUCUGAUUAGCUUGUUGGCGGGGUAACGGCCCACCAAGGCGACGAUCAGUAGGGGUUCUGAGAGGAAGGUCCCCCACAUUGGAACUGAGACACGGUCCAAACUCCUACGGGAGGCAGCAGUGAGGAAUAUUGGUCAAUGGACGAGAGUCUGAACCAGCCAAGUAGCGUGCGGGAUGACGGCCCUAUGGGUUGUAAACUGCUUUUAUAAGGGAAUAAAGUGAGUCUCGUGAGACUUUUUGCAUGUACCUUAUGAAUAAGGACCGGCUAAUUCCGUGCCAGCCGCCGCGGUAACAC
rnacentral:rRNA from 1 species